rnacentral:lncRNA from 1 species
UAUGUCUUUUUUACAUUCUCUUAUUGUAUAGUUAUAUCUUAUAUUUUAUAUUUGAUCUAGAUUUUUAGGCUGUACUGUUAGUGUUAUCUGUAUGCACCGGGGGUCUGUGAGUAAUGCAAUUUCGAUUCUCUGUAUGUAUGUACUGUACACGUGGAAGAAUUGACAAUAAAGCAGACUUGACUUGACUUGACUUGACUUUGGACCACUGGGCAACAGUCCAGUUCUUCUUCUCCUUAGCCCAGGUAAGACGCCUCUGAUGUUGUCUGUGGUUCAGGAGUGGCUUAACAAGAGGAAUAUGACAACUGUAGCCAAAUUCCUUGACAUGUCUGUGUGUGGUGUCUCUUGAUGCCUUGACCCCAGCCUCAGUCCAUUCCUUGUGAAGUUCACUCAAAUUCUUGAAUCGAUUUUGCUUGACAAUCCUCAUAAGGCUGGGGUUCUCUCGGUUGGUUGUGCAUCUUUUCCUUCCACACUUUUUCCUUCCACUCAACUUUGUUAACAUGCUUGGAUACAGCACUCUGUGAACAGCCAGCUUCUUUGGCAAUGAAUGUUUGUGGCUUACCCUCCUUGUGAAGGGCGUCAAUGAUUGUCUUCUGGACAACUGUCAGGUCAGCAGUCUUCCCCAUGAUUGUGUAGCCUAGUGAACCAAACUGAGAGACCAUUUUGAAGGCUCAGGAAACCUUUGCAGGUGUUUUGAGUUGAUUAGCUGAUUGGCAUGUCGCCAUAUUCUAAUUUGUUGAGAUAGUGAAUUUGUGGGUUUUUGUUAUACAUGUAUAAUUCAAAAAUCAGCAAAUAUUGUUCAAUCACGUUGGCUUGAAUUGUUUUAGAUGAUCCAGAACCCUUGGCAGAUGUCACAUAUUCAGAGGUCACUGUUAAGAAAAAAGAUGGACAAAGAAGAUACCAUUGCAGAGUCAAAUAAUGUGACAUACUCAGAAGUCGGGAAAAGAGGAAAGAAAUGCAAAAGCAAAGAUAUUAAUACUGCAUUACCCAGCGAUUUGACUUACGCACAGAUCAAUAUACAGGACAAGAAGAAAACCAAAGGCAAAGGGAAGAGCAGUGAGUCUGGAGACACUUUGUACUCUGAACUGAAGCAGAACACAGACAGAGAUGCUGAUGCUGAAGUUGGUGAUGCAACCUAUGCUCAAUCUAUUAAGAAAAAGAAUAAAACACAUGCUGAUGCUGAAGUUGGUGAUGCAACCUAUGCUCAAUCUAUUAAGAAGAAGAAUAAAACACGUAAGAAUUUGCACUUGUUCCUGCAGAUUGUGGCACAUAUUGGUUCUCUUACAUUAUAAAUUUGCAAUUAUUAUCAAUCUACUAUUAUAGCCUAUUAAUUGAAUAACAUAUAUAAAUAUAUAUUAUACUGUCUUAAUUGUUAACAUUUUUCAUAAUGCAUUAUCUUCUUAUCGAUCCACUAGUUCACAUUUACAACUCUGCAUGUUUGCUGGAUAAAAACAUGGGUUGAUUUUCACUUUUAUCUGAACAAAAGCAGUCAGGCUUAUUAAAAAAUGCACAUUAAUUAUCUGCCAGCAGGAGGCGCUUUUGGAACAGCAGAAAUACAGGGGUUUCCACGGUAACAGCAAUAGGGCAGCACAGCAGCUGUUUUUGAACCGUGCAGUGCUCAUUUUUAUUCAAUAAAAUCAUAGCCUUUCAAAGUUUAAUUGUCACACUAAGCCAUAUCGCAAUUCUAGUUUUAAUGGCAUCCCCAAAUUUAAGAGGUUUUAUGGCCUUAAAUUUGAUACAGCUAAAUGUAAGACUUUUUUAAGGACCCAUCAACUUUUUUUAAGUUUUGAGAAUGCCAUUGUUUUUCACUCACUGGAAGUUUCAUCUGUCUGUGCGCCUGUAAAGAUAGUCCACUGAAGACGAGUGUAGUGAGAACCCAAGUGCAGUUUAUUUACAAGGUGAUAAUCCAAACAUCCAAACAAUAAAAAAAGACUUGACUUGAACAGACUUGAACAAACGUGAACAGACUUGACUAGACCUGACUUGGCUUGACUUGAACAGACUUGACAAGGCUUGAACAGACUUAGCAUGAAACAGACUUGACUUGACAUAGACUGGACUCACCGACAGCAGGUUACAACAUUAAUACACGACAAGAGACAAUGGCAAAGACAUGGCUACUUAUACAGACAAUGAGGGUCACGUGACAUGAACAAACCAAUGGGAAACAAGACACAUGGCUAAAGCAACCAAUGAGCAAACAGAACUGAUAAUCACAUGACAAGACAGUAACCAAUGAGAACAUGACACAUACACAAGGCAGAGAUACAUGAGGGCAAGGGAAGCAUGACACAAACAGCAUAAAUCAAACUACAAAAUAAAAGACAUGAAAACAAUAAACAAGAAACAAAACUCAAAACAGACCGUACAGUGCCGCUCUCUUCACUGCACGCACGACUGCACUUCUGACCGUAGCAACAGUUAACUGUAAUAGUAGCCUGUGGUGCCGUAGGACCUAAGCGGCUGUACUGAGCUACCCUUGAUGUGCUUGAUAUACAUUUCAUUAUGUUAGAAAAUAGCAUUUGGCAUUUAUUUAUUUCAUUAUGUCAAAAGGCUUCGCAGUCCGGAUGGAUGCAUCUCGCGGUCCGGGUUCGGACCGGGGUCCGCCAGUCGGUGACCCCUGCACUAACCUUGCGAAAUAACCAUCAUGCACCAUUUACAACAGUGUAAUAAAUAGUGUAACUGGGCAUUUAGUUGAUAAAAUUCAAUACAAUGUGUUCUUUGUCUUAUAAAAGAAUGCCUGUGUUUUUGCCAAGUCAUUAACACAGAUGAAGAUGAUUUUUCUUAAAUGCAUGUAUUUUCAGUAAGAACCAUAAAGAAAUUAAUAAUUGUAUGCAAGGGCAUUGUUUUAAGAAAACAUUUUAAAUGUCUUACAUUUAUAUUCUUAAUAUGGUUAAAAUUUUUAUAACUGUUUUGCAGAUAUGUUCUCAGUUGUUCACUCAUUGAUUUUAUAGGAUUUGCGAUCGCUUUAGACUUAGAGUAUUAAAUGUGGAAACUGUAUAAAUAAAGCUCUGUUUAAACUUUACUUGCUUUUUUUUUUUUACAACACUGAGUUCAUUUUUAUAAACAUUAUAAAAAAUGUCAUAUAUGUACACUGAAAAAAAGCGCAAUAAAAUAAAAGAUUCUCUUUCUCUGGAUCA